rnacentral:rRNA from 1 species
AUUGAACGCUGGCGGCAGGCCUAACACAUGCAAGUCGAACGAGUGGCGGACGGGUGAGUAAUGUCUGGGAAACUGCCUGAUGGAGGGGGAUAACUACUGGAAACGGUAGCUAAUACCGCAUACCAUCGGAUGUGCCCAGAUGGGAUUAGCUAGUAGGUGGGGUAAAGGCUCACCUAGGCGACGAUCCCUAGCUGGUCUGAGAGGAUGACAGGGCAGACGGGAACGGAGACACGGUGCAGAUGACUACGAGAGGCAGCAGUGGGGAAUAUUGCACAAUGGGCGCAAUGCUGAUGCAGCCAUGCCGCGUGGAUGAAGAAGUCCUUCGGGUUGUAAAGGACUUUCAGCGGGGAGGCGUUACCCGCAGAAGAAGCACCGGCUAACUCCGUGCCAGCAGCCGCGGUAAUUC